AAAUAGUAACUAAAGUACUUUUUAAAAUUACUGCACAUAGCUAUAUCAGCAACUUCUAGUUACUAUGCCAAAUACACACGUAAAACACUCCCCCCCAUCCCCAAAUCCCAUGUUUAACGGUUAUUCAAUUAAUUAGUCUGAUUCUCUCUCCAGCCACUUUAAUCCUUGCCGUUUUUUUCUCACAUAGCUUCCUUCACGUUUCACCACGUUCUAACCACUGUUGCGAAAUUUGGGGUAGUUGUAUUUGGAUAGGUUUUUACAUUCUAUUGGUGUAUUUUUGUUCAGAAUAAUUUCAUAUUUUCAAAGAUUGUGAAUCGUAUUCAACUUCCAAUCCUUUCCUUUUUCUUCUCCAAUACCUUCCUUCAAGAUUCUUCAGCUUCAAAUCGGCUUAUGCGAAAAUUGGGGAAAGUUAUAUUGGGGUUUUCGAGCAAUUAAACUCACCUGUUAAUGGCAGACGGAGCAACACCUAAUAGGGUUACUCGAGCCUCUGCCGAUAAAAUGGCUACUGAAAGGCGUUCCAAGAAUAUACAUGAUCCUCGCAGAAUUCCAAAUCCACCAAUUGCUAAAUCGUCAAACAAAAUAGAUGCGGCUACAGUGACGAAGAGGAAAAAAACUACUGAUGUUGUUCCGGCCAGCAAGGGGAAACAAGUCGUAGAGGCUGAAGCAGAAGAAGA